GACGAACGCUGGCGGCGUGCUUAACACAUGCAAGUCGAACGGAAAGGCCCUACGUUUGUGGGCUUCUCGAUUGGCGAACGGGGGAGGAACACGUGAGUAACGUGCCCUACACUUUGGGAUAACUUCAGGAAACUGGGGCUAAGACCGUAUAGGAGCUGCCGCUGCAGGGAGGGGGUGGGAUAUUUUCGGCUGUUGGGGAUGGACGCGCGGCUGAUGAGCUAGCUGGUCGGGUAGGGGCUGACCAAGGCUUGGACGGGUACCCGGCCUGAGAGGGUGGCCGGCCACAUUGGGCCUGCGAGACGGCGCAGAGUCCUACGGGGGGCAGCAGUGGGAAAUAUUGCCCAAUGAGCGGACGCCUGAUAAGACAACCCCGCGUGCGGGAUGACGGCCUUCGGGGUGUAAACAGCUUCAGCCUGUGACGACGCUUGAGUGACGGUACUGGAUAAAGAAGCACCGGCUAACUACGUG
rnacentral:rRNA from 1 species